ACAAAGAAUGUAUUUGUCUUUGUUUGUUUCUCCUUUUAAAAAGCACUUUUCAGUGAAUGAUUGUGGAUUCCAUUGAAUUUCACCAUCACCAACACACCCAACAGAAAAAGAAAAACAGAGACAAGAGUGUGAACAAGGGUAUUAAUGAGUGAGAACAAGCCAUGAAUUCCCCACAUGUCAUACUUUGAAAUAGACUGCAUCUUUGUACAAAGUCUUAUGCUUCCCCUUGACCCCUCCAGUCUUGUCUAUCAGACCCACAUCACCAAAAUUAAAUAUCCACACAAAACACUAAACCAACAUUAAUGAUAAGUAACAAAAAAGUAAAAAGUAAAAAUAAAAA
rnacentral:lncRNA from 1 species